AGUGAACGCUGGCGGUAGGCCUAACACAUGCAAGUCGAACGGCAGCACAGUAAGAGCUUGCUCUUACGGGUGGCGAGUGGCGGACGGGUGAGGAAUACAUCGGAAUCUACUUUUUCGUGGGGGAUAACGUAGGGAAACUUACGCUAAUACCGCAUACGACCUACGGGUGAAAGCUGGGGAUCUUCGGACCUUGCGCGAUUGAAUGAGCCGAUGUCGGAUUAGCUAGUUGGCGGGGUAAAGGCCCACCAAGGCGACGAUCCGUAGCUGGUCUGAGAGGAUGAUCAGCCACACUGGAACUGAGACACGGUCCAGACUCCUACGGGAGGCAGCAGUGGGGAAUAUUGGACAAUGGGCGCAAGCCUGAUCCAGCCAUACCGCGUGGGUGAAGAAGGCCUUCGGGUUGUAAGGCCCUUUUGCUGGGAAAGAAAAGCAGCAGGUUAAUACCCCGCUGUUCUGACGGUACCCAAAGAAUAAGCACCGGCUAACUUCGUG
rnacentral:rRNA from 1 species